AAAUAGAUACCCAGGUAGUCCACGCCGUAAACGAUGUCGACUUGGAGGUUGUUCCCUUGAGGAGUGGCUUCCGGAGCUAACGCGUUAAGUCGACCGCCUGGGGAGUACGGCCGCAAGGUUAAAACUCAAAUGAAUUGACGGGGGCCCGCACAAGCGGUGGAGCAUGUGGUUUAAUUCGAUGCAACGCGAAGAACCUUACCUACUCUUGACAUCCACGGAACUUAGCAGAGAUGCUUUGGUGCCUUUCGGGAACCGUGAGACAGGUGCUGCAUGGCUGUCGUCAGCUCGUGUUGUGAAAUGUUGGGUUAAGUCCCGCAACGAGCGCAACCCUUAUCCUUUGUUGCCAGCGGUUAGGCCGGGAACUCAAAGGAGACUGCCAGUGAUAAACUGGAGGAAGGUGGGGAUGACGUCAAGUCAUCAUGGCCCUUACGAGUAGGGCUACACACGUGCUACAAUGGCGCAUACAAAGAGAAGCGACCUCGCGAGAGCAAGCGGACCUCAUAAAGUGCGUCGUAGUCCGGAUUGGAGUCUGC
rnacentral:rRNA from 1 species